rnacentral:rRNA from 1 species
UACGUAGGGUGCGAGCGUUAAUCGGAAUUACUGGGCGUAAAGCGUGCGCAGGCGGUUAUUUAAGUCAGGUGUGAAAGCCCUCGGCUUAACCUAGGAAUUGCGCUUGAGACUGGAUAGCUUGGAGUGCGGCAGAGGGAGGUGGAAUUCCACGUGUAGCAGUGAAAUGCGUAGAGAUGUGGAGGAACACCGAUGGCGAAGGCAGCCUCCUGGGCCAGCACUGACGCUCAUGCACGAAAGCGUGGGGAGCAAACAGG